CCUCCCACUGCGGACGAGAGAGGGAGGGAGGAUUAAAUCUCAACGCCGAAAGUUUUCAAUUGAGACAGAUAAUUCAUUGAGACGUCGAAGGCGUGAAUUUCUAAUCAAUGACAACCAAGAUAGAGCGGCAUCCAGCAUCCGAGGGUCGCCAUGACAACAGCACAUCCUGUUUCAUCACCAGUCGACGGACAAAGACAGCCUCAGUCGAAAGAACGCUAAUGGGAAACUGGGCCCAAGUUCGAGGCACUGUGGUUUGCUGCAGAGCUGCUGUUUUUCAUGUCCAGGCACAGUUUGGAGGGGCUGGAUUAUUGCCACUUCCUGGGCAUAACUGGCCUCCGAACCACCAACAAGCUCUGGCGUGGAAAAGGAGAGGAGGGUGGAUAAACAGAGGUGGAAGAUGAGGGGGGGGGGCAUUCUCUAACAUCAUUAAGGUGCAUCUGUUUUGUGUCCCUCAUGACGAACUCCCUUGUCUGGUGACAGAAGUGGGUCUUGGACACAUCCGGCUCAGAUUAAGCGUGACCUGCGAGGGUCAAGUAUGGCUUUAGACUAAUUCAGGUAGACACCAGCCUCCAAUUGGUGGGAAUCGUCUCUCACUGGGAACAAUUCCCAGUUUCACAGGUCAAAGGUCAACUAGAUAAUCCCCUUGAUAUUAAACACAGGGCCUUCUCACAGCCUUGGCAGCCGCCCCUCGUCUUUUCGCCUCGUCGCGCAUCGUCUCCAUGAAGGCAUCGUCACGGCCACAUUGAAUUUUACACAUAUUUAUGGUUUUCGUAAACAAACUAACUUGUUAGAGAGAACUGGCAGCUUCUACGAGCUCUGUGCUGCGUUUUAUGAUGU